GAUGAACGCUGGCGGCGUGCCUAAUACAUGCAAGUCGAGCGAACAGACGAGGAGCUUGCUCCUUUGACGUUAGCGGCGGACGGGUGAGUAACACGUGGGUAACCUACCUAUAAGACUGGGAUAACUUCGGGAAACCGGAGCUAAUACCGGAUAAUAUUUCGAACCGCAUGGUUCGAUAGUGAAAGAUGGCUUUGCUAUCACUUAUAGAUGGACCUGCGCCGUAUUAGCUAGUUGGUAAGGUAACGGCUUACCAAGGCAACGAUACGUAGCCGACCUGAGAGGGUGAUCGGCCACACUGGAACUGAGACACGGUCCAGACUCCUACGGGAGGCAGCAGUAGGGAAUCUUCCGCAAUGGGCGAAAGCCUGACGGAGCAACGCCGCGUGAGUGAUGAAGGUCUUCGGAUCGUAAAACUCUGUUAUUAGGGAAGGACAAACGUGUAAGUAACUGUGCACGUCUUGACGGUACCUAAUCAGAAAGCCACGGCUAACUACGUG
rnacentral:rRNA from 1 species